rnacentral:rRNA from 1 species
GUCUUUUUGAAAAUAAUAUAAAGUCUAAUCUGCCCACUGAUUUUAAAUUGAAGGGCUGCAGUAUAUUGACUGUACAAAGGUAGCAUAAUCAUUAGUCAUUUAAUUGAUGACUUGUAUGAAGGAUUGGAUGAAAUGUAAACUGUCUCUUGGUUAUCUAAGAGUAUAUAGAAUUUAAUUUUUUAAUUAAAAAGUUAAAAUGAAUUAAAAAGACGAGAAGACCCUAUAGAGUUUUAUAAAUAAUUUAAUUAAGGUUAUUAAUAGUUUAAAAUUAAGAUUAUUUUUAUUUAUUUUGUUGGGGUGAUAGAAAAAUAUAAUAAACUUUUUUUAUAAAAUUACAUUUAUAAGUGGGUGAAUGAUCCAGUAUUAUUGAUUAUAAGAAAAAAUUACCUUAGGGAUAACAGCGUAAUUUUUUUUUUUAGUUCAUAUAAGAAAAAAAGUUUGCGACCUCGAUGUUGGAUUAAGAUAAAAUUUAAAUGCAGAAGUUUGAAAUUUUGAUCUGUUCGAUCAUUAAAAUCUUAC